rnacentral:rRNA from 1 species
GACGAACGCUGGCGGCGUGCCUAAUACAUGCAAGUAGAACGCUGAAGGAGGAGCUUGCUCUUCUGGAUGAGUUGCGAACGGGUGAGUAACGCGUAGGUAACCUGCCUGGUAGCGGGGGAUAACUAUUGGAAACGAUAGCUAAUACCGCAUAAGAGUAGAUGUUGCAUGACAUUUGCUUAAAAGGUGCAAUUGCAUCACUACCAGAUGGACCUGCGUUGUAUUAGCUAGUUGGUGGGGUAACGGCUCACCAAGGCGACGAUACAUAGCCGACCUGAGAGGGGGAGCGGCCACACUGGGACGGAGACACGGCCCAGACUCCUACGGGAGGCAGCAGUAGGGAAUCUUCGGCAAUGGACGGAAGUCUGACCGAGCAACGCCGCGGGAGUGAAGAAGGUUUUCGGAUCGUAAAGCUCUGUUGUAAGAGAAGAACGAGUGUGAGAGUGGAAAGUUCACACUGUGACGGUAUCUUACCAGAAAGGGACGGCUAACUACGUG